rnacentral:rRNA from 1 species
UAGGGAAUCUUCCACAAUGGACGCAAGUCUGAUGGAGCAACGCCGCGUGAGUGAAGAAGGUUCUUCGGAUCGUAAAGCUCUGUUGUUGGUGAAGAAGGAUAGAGGCAGUAACUGGUCUUUAUUUGACGGUAAUCAACCAGAAAGUCACGGCUAACUACGUGCCAGCAGCCGCGGUAAUACGUAGGUGGCAAGCGUUGUCCGGAUUUAUUGGGCGUAAAGCGAGCGCAGGCGGAAUGAUAAGUCUGAUGUGAAAGCCCACGGCUCAACCGUGGAACUGCAUCGGAAACUGUCAUUCUUGAGUGCAGAAGAGGAGAGUGGAACUCCAUGUGUAGCGGUGGAAUGCGUAGAUAUAUGGAAGAACACCAGUGGCGAAGGCGGCUCUCUGGUCUGCAACUGACGCUGAGGCUCGAAAGCAUGGGUAGCGAACAGGAUUAGAUACCCUGGUAGUCCAUGCCGUAAA